UCGCGACCCCAGGUCAGGCGGGACCACCCGCUGAGUUUAA
rnacentral:rRNA from 1 species